GACGAACGCUGGCGGCGUGCUUAACACAUGCAAGUCGAACGGAAAGGCCCUGCUUUUGUGGGGUGCUCGAGUGGCGAACGGGUGAGUAACACGUGAGUAACCUGCCCUUGACUUUGGGAUAACUUCAGGAAACUGGGGCUAAUACCGGAUAGGAGCUCCUGCUGCAUGGUGGGGGUUGGAAAGUUUCGGCGGUUGGGGAUGGACUCGCGGCUUAUCAGCUUGUUGGUGGGGUAGUGGCUUACCAAGGCUUUGACGGGUAGCCGGCCUGAGGGGGUGACCGGCCACAUUGGGACUGGAAUGCGGCCCAGACUCCACCGGGAGGCAGCAGUGGGGAAUAUUGCACAAUGGGCGGAAGCCUGAUGCAGCAACGCCGCGUGCGGUAUGACGGCCUUCGGUUUGUAAACCGCUUUCGCCUGUGACGAAGCGUGAGUGACGGUAAUGGGUAAAGAAGCACCGGCUAACUACGUG
rnacentral:rRNA from 1 species